AGUAGUAUCGUAUCCCUAGAGUCCACUCCUUCCCCAUACUACUAGUGAAAGAGAAAAUGUAAAGACUACCAUUAAAGCAGCCCAAGCGAGACUUACUAUAUCCAUCUAAAUUAUGUCUCCUAUUUCUAUGAAGGGAUUAUUCUACUAUUGAUCAAUAAUCAUAGUGGAAUCAAGGGUACAGAGUCAAAAAGGGCUUCUGCCCUAAGGCCAUGGAUCAAUCAGUUCAAGGAAUUUACUCCUAACAAAUUCUUAUAGGAAUUCUUGUAGAAUUAGAGAGCAUUAAAAAUACGAUACUAUAAAGCCCUUUUUUCCUUACCUUAAAAAAGAAAGAGUACGGGAAUGAUGUCCUGAAUAGAAGAAGCGGGAAUAGGAAGAUUUUUUAUUCCUUUUGUUACUCUAGUGUAUGUAGGUCACAUAAGAUGUACGAUAAAAAAAUGUAUGAUAAUUAGGAAGUCUUGAUAUUCUUUCGUGGAGUCCCUUCUGGAAUCUUAGAUUGAAAAAGAGAAGAAUGCCCCUUAGGGACCUUUCUUUGGAUACCAAGAUUUCUGACAUCUUAUCCUCGUAUUUAAAAAUUCUCAAAUCGAAUCAAUUAAGAACCAAUUCAAAUUCAUAUAAUAAAAGAAUAAGGAAACACUACCUCACCCCUAUUGAUAACCAUUUUGGCCACUACCGCCAAAACAAACCCUAACCCUAGUUUAAGGAUAGAACUAUGGUAUGGUUUCUCUAAACCCAGUAUCGGCAGGCUUAGUUACUCUCUUGCCCGAACUUAUGCGAAGUAAAAAUUGAUUGAAUUCGAUCAGUACUAGAAAACCUAAGUAUUUUAUUGAUCAGGCGGCACCCAGAUUUGAACUGGGGAUAAAGGAUUUGCAGUCCCCUGCCUUACCGCUUGGCCAUGCCGCCAAAAAAUCCGAUCGAAAAUCUAGAAAACAGCAAGUAUUCAUCCACGUUUUCUUACGAAAAGCCCCUUUCUUUUAUUUUGAAUAUAAUUAAACUUACUUUUUUCCAAUCUUUUUCAAAAAAGAUACUCCUGCUUUUUUUGAUCCAGUUUCGAUUAUUCUCCUCGAUAGAUUCUAUCUUAAAACAUACAUUGCUAACACAAUAAAACUUCCCAUUUCUUUCUAUUGAGAUGAAAAAGAAGAAAAGUGGAUUUCUAGUCACAGGCUGCAAAAUUCAGAACAAAUUGGAACCAUUAACUAGAAUUCUCUUUCUUUUUUGAAUUGCAGUAGUGAACUACUCUUAAAUCGGUAUUAUCUCCCCCCCUUCAAUUUCAAUGGCAUAAUAAAAUAUUAUGGCUUUAUGCUUAAUCCGUGUAUAGGUGAACUUUAGGUCCGAGCAGCAUUAUUAUCCAAAGAUCCCCUUUAUGUACAUAUCUCUAUGGGGAAUCGUGCUUUAAUUUUUCAAAGUAUUAAAUUAAAUAUCUUGAAUAAAAAAAGGAAAUUUGCUCUGAUAUUAGAGUAUAACCUGACUAUCUUGGCCUACCCAAGUGAAAUUACGAUAAAAGAAAAGCAUGGAUAUGGGGAGAGGUGGAUAAUUAGAUUGGCAUGUACUUAAAAAAGGGACUUACUUUAUUUUAGAAUUCCACAAUGAAAUACUUAAUUUUCUAGCAAUUAUACUACUCCGAUCCGAAAUAAAAAAGAACCCUCAAAUUAUUUUUAGAAAUUAAAGUAAGCACGCUAUUCUAAAUCGAAGUAAAGUAAAACUUUCUAGUGUAUUAUAUUACGGCUUUAUUACAUUCAUAGAAAGGGGAUAAAAUGAGAAAUCUUUGCCAUUCAAUCUGAUUAGAAUAUUAUAAAGUAUAAGUGGCAUAAUUUUUUUUGUAGGAAUAUUUUAGCAAUUCAUUUUCAUUUCAUUUGUACCCCUGGUAAACUAGAAUUUUCGUCGAAAUGGUCUCUAUUCAUAUGUAUGAAAUACAUAUAUGAAAUACGUAUGUGGAGUUCCCUAGAAUUUCAUGUGAUUCAGUAAACAGAAUAUAGAUUCCAUGAUUGCUAGAUCAAUCCGUAGGGAUUGAUGAAGAGUGAGCUGAUAAUGGAAUUUUUCUUUGAUAAACAGGAAACUUAAGAUUAAGAUGCUCCGGAAUGGAAACGAGGGAAUGUCCACAAUACCCGGAUUUAGUCAGAUCCAAUUCGAGGGAUUUUUUAGGUUCAUUAAUCAAGCCUUGGCAGAAGAACUUGACAAGUUUCCAACAAUUAAAGAUCCAGAUCACGAAAUUGCAUUUCAAUUAUUUGCGAAAGGAUAUCAAUUGCUAGAACCCUCGAUAAAAGAAAGAGAUGCUGUGUAUGAAUCACUCACCUAUUCUUCCGAAUUAUAUGUAUCUGCGAGAUUAAUUUUUGGUUUCGAUGUGCAAAAGCAAACCAUUUCUAUCGGAAACAUUCCUAUAAUGAAUUCCUUAGGAACCUUUAUUAUAAAUGGAAUAUACCGAAUUGUGAUCAAUCAAAUAUUGCUAAGUCCUGGUAUUUACUACCGCUCGGAAUUAGAUCAUAAGGGAAUUUCUAUCUACACCGGGACUAUAAUAUCAGAUUGGGGAGGGAGAUCGGAAUUAGCAAUUGAUAAAAAAGAAAGGAUAUGGGCUCGCGUGAGUAGAAAACAAAAGAUAUCUAUUCUAGUUCUAUCAUCAGCUAUGGGUUCGAAUCUAAGAGAAAUUCUAGAUAAUGUUUCCUACCCUGAAAUUUUCUUGUCUUUCCCGAAUGCUAAGGAGAAGAAGAGGAUUGAGUCAAAAGAAAAAGCUAUUUUGGAGUUUUAUCAACAAUUUGCUUGUGUAGGUGGGGACCUGGUAUUUUCGGAGUCCUUAUGCGAGGAAUUACAAAAGAAAUUUUUUCAACAAAAAUGUGAAUUAGGAAGGAUUGGUCGACGAAAUAUGAAUCGGAGACUUAAUCUUGAUAUACCUCAGAACAAUACAUUCUUGUUACCACGAGAUGUAUUGGCCGCUACGGAUCAUUUGAUUGGAAUGAAAUUUGGAACGGGUAUACUUGACGAUGACGAUAUGAAUCACUUGAAAAAUAAACGUAUUCGUUCGGUUGCGGAUCUGUUACAAGAUCAAUUCGGAUUGGCUCUUGGUCGUUUACAACAUGCAGUUCAAAAAACUAUUCGUAGAGUAUUCAUACGUCAAUCGAAACCGACUCCCCAAACUUUGGUAACUCCAACUUCAACUUCAAUUUUAUUAAUAACUACUUAUGAGACCUUUUUUGGCACAUACCCAUUAUCUCAAGUUUUUGAUCAAACGAAUCCAUUGACACAAACUGUUCAUGGGCGAAAAGUGAGUUGUUUAGGUCCUGGAGGGUUGACGGGGAGAACCGCAAGUUUUCGGAGCCGAGAUAUUCAUCCGAGUCACUAUGGGCGUAUUUGUCCAAUUGACACGUCUGAAGGAAUCAAUGUUGGACUUACUGGAUCCUUAGCAAUUCAUGCGAGAAUUGAUCACUUGUGGGGAUCUAUAGAGAGUCCGUUUUAUGAAAUAUCUGCUGAGAAAGCAAAAGAAAAAAAAGAGAGACAGGUGGUUUAUCUAUCACCAAAUAGAGAUGAGUAUUAUAUGAUAGCAGCAGGAAAUUCUUUGUCCUUGAAUCAAGGUAUUCAGGAAGAACAGGUUGUUCCAGCUAGAUACCGCCAAGAAUUCUUGACUAUUGCAUGGGAACAGAUUCAUGUUAGAAGUAUUUUUCCUUUCCAAUAUUUUUCUAUUGGGGGUUCUCUCAUUCCUUUUAUUGAGCACAAUGAUGCGAAUCGGGCUUUAAUGAGUUCUAAUAUGCAGCGCCAAGCAGUUCCACUUUCUCGGUCCGAGAAAUGCAUUGUUGGAACUGGAUUGGAACGCCAAACAGCUCUAGAUUCGAGGGUUUCCGUUAUAGCCGAACGCGAGGGAAAGAUCAUUUCUACUGAUAGUCAUAAGAUACUUUUAUCAAGUAGUGGGAAGACUAUAAGUAUUCCUUUAGUUAACCACCGUCGCUCUAACAAAAAUACUUGUAUGCACCAAAAACCUCGGGUUCCACGGGGUAAAUCCAUUAAAAAAGGACAAAUUUUAGCAGAAGGAGCUGCUACAGUUGGGGGGGAACUUGCUUUAGGAAAAAACGUAUUAGUAGCUUAUAUGCCAUGGGAAGGUUACAAUUUUGAAGACGCAGUACUAAUUAGCGAACGUUUGGUAUAUGAGGAUAUUUAUACCUCUUUUCACAUCCGGAAAUAUGAAAUUCAGACGGAUACGACAAGCCAGGGCUCCGCUGAAAAAAUCACUAAAGAAAUACCACAUCUAGAAGAACAUUUACUCCGCAAUUUGGACAAAAAUGGAGUUGUUAGGUUGGGAUCCUGGGUAGAAACUGGUGAUAUUUUAGUAGGUAAAUUAACGCCUCAGAUAGCGAGCGAAUCAUCAUAUAUCGCAGAAGCUGGAUUAUUACGGGCCAUAUUCGGCCUUGAGGUUUCCACUUCAAAAGAAACUUCUCUGAAAUUACCUAUAGGUGGAAGAGGGCGCGUUAUCGAUGUGAAAUGGAUCCAAAGGGACCCCCUCGACAUAAUGGUUCGUGUAUAUAUUUUACAGAAACGUGAAAUCAAAGUUGGGGAUAAAGUAGCCGGAAGACAUGGGAAUAAAGGGAUCAUUUCCAAAAUUUUGCCUAGGCAAGAUAUGCCCUAUUUGCAAGAUGGAACACACCGUUGAUAUGGUCUUCAAUCCCUUAGGAGUACCCUCCCGAAUGAAUGUGGGACAAAUAUUUGAAAGCUCGCUCGGAUUAGCGGGGGAUCUGCUAAAGAAACAUUAUAGAAUAGCACCCUUUGAUGAGAGAUAUGAGCAAGAGGCUUCAAGAAAACUUGUGUUUUCAGAAUUAUAUGAAGCCAGUAAAGAAACAAAAAAUCCAUGGGUAUUUGAACCCGAGUACCCGGGAAAAAGCAGAAUAUUUGAUGGAAGAACAGGCGACCCCUUUGAGCAACCUGUUCUAAUAGGGAAGUCCUAUAUCUUAAAAUUAAUUCAUCAAGUUGAUGAGAAAAUUCAUGGGCGUUCUACUGGGCCCUACUCACUUGUUACACAACAACCGGUUAGAGGAAGAGCCAAGCAAGGGGGACAACGAGUAGGAGAAAUGGAAGUUUGGGCUUUAGAAGGAUUUGGUGUUGCUCAUAUUUUACAAGAGAUACUUACUUAUAAAUCUGACCAUCUUAUAGCUCGCCAAGAAAUACUUAAUGCUACGAUCUGGGGAAAAAGAAUACCUAAUCAUGAGGAUCCUCCAGAAUCUUUUCGAGUGCUCGUUCGAGAACUACGAUCUUUGGCUCUAGAACUGAAUCAUUUCCUUGUAUCUGAAAAGAACUUCCAGGUUAAUAGGGAGGAAGUUUGAUCGGAAUAAAUAUAAAUUCUUUUCUUAUUUCUAUUUUAUGAUUGACCAAUAUAAACAUCAACAACUUCAAAUUGGACUCGUUUCCCCUCAACAAAUAAAGGCUUGGGCUAACAAAAACCUACCUAAUGGAGAAGCCGUUGGCGAAGUCACAAGGCCCUCUACUUUUCAUUAUAAAACCGAUAAACCAGAAAAAGAUGGAUUGUUUUGCGAAAGAAUCUUUGGACCCAUAAAAAGCGGGAUUUGCGGUUGUGGCAAUUCUCGAGCGAGCGGAGCUGAAAACGAAGACGAAAGAUUUUGCCAAAAAUGCGGGGUAGAAUUUGUGGAUUCUCGGAUACGAAGAUAUCAAAUGGGAUACAUCAAACUCGCAUGUCCCGUGACUCAUGUGUGGUAUUUGAAAGGUCUUCCUAGUUAUAUCGCGAAUCUUUUAGAUAAACCUCUUAAGAAGUUGGAGGGCCUAGUAUACGGCGAUUUCUCUUUUGCUAGGCCCAGCACUAAAAAACCCACUUUUUUACGAUUACGAGGUUUAUUCGAAGAGGAAAUUGCAUCCUGUAACCACAGCAUUUCUCCCUUUUUUUCUACCCCAGGCUUUGCAACAUUUCGAAAUCGGGAAAUUGCGACAGGAGCAGGUGCUAUUAGAGAACAAUUAGCAGAUUUGGAUUUGCGAAUUAUUAUAGAGAAUUCUUUGGUCGAAUGGAAGGAAUUAGAAGACGAGGGGUAUAGUGGAGAUGAGUGGGAAGAUAGAAAAAGACGAAUAAGAAAAGUUUUUUUGAUUAGACGCAUGCAAUUGGCGAAACAUUUUAUUCAAACAAAUGUAGAACCAGAAUGGAUGGUUUUGUGCUUAUUACCGGUUCUUCCUCCCGAAUUGAGACCUAUUGUUUAUAGGUCUGGAGAUAAAGUAGUGACUUCAGACAUUAAUGAACUUUAUAAGAGAGUUAUCCGUCGGAACAACAAUCUUGCCUAUCUAUUAAAAAGAAGUGAAUUAGCGCCAGCAGAUUUAGUAAUGUGCCAGGAAAAAUUGGUACAAGAAGCCGUGGAUACACUUCUUGAUAGUGGGUCCCGCGGGCAACCGACGAGGGAUGGUCACAAUAAAGUAUACAAAUCACUUUCAGAUGUAAUUGAAGGUAAAGAGGGAAGGUUUCGCGAGACUCUGCUUGGGAAACGGGUCGAUUACUCGGGGCGUUCUGUCAUUGUUGUGGGUCCUUCGCUUUCAUUACAUCAAUGUGGAUUACCUCUAGAGAUAGCAAUAAAGCUUUUUCAGCUAUUUGUAAUUCGCGAUUUAAUCACGAAACGCGCCACUUCUAAUGUCAGGAUUGCUAAAAGGAAAAUUUGGGAAAAGGAACCCAUUGUAUGGGAAAUACUUCAAGAAGUUAUGCGGGGACAUCCUGUACUGUUAAAUAGAGCACCUACUCUGCAUAGAUUAGGCAUACAGGCCUUUCAACCCACUUUAGUAGAGGGGCGUACUAUUUCUUUACACCCAUUAGUGUGUAAGGGUUUCAAUGCAGACUUUGAUGGAGAUCAAAUGGCUGUUCAUCUACCUUUAUCCUUGGAAGCUCAGGCGGAAGCCCGUUUACUUAUGUUUUCUCAUAUGAAUCUCUUAUCUCCUGCUAUUGGGGAUCCUAUUUGCGUACCAACCCAAGACAUGCUUAUCGGGCUUUAUGUAUUAACAAUUGGAAAGCGUCGAGGUAUUUGUGCAAAUAGAUAUAAUAGUUUCAGAAACUAUCCAAAUUUAAAAGUCAAUUACAAUAAUAAUAAUUCUAAGUAUAGGAAAGAUAAAGAACCCCAUUUUUCUAGUUCUUAUGAUGCACUGGGAGCUUAUAGACAAAAACUAAUCAGUUUAGAUAGUCCCUUGUGGCUACGAUGGAACCUGGAUCAACGCGUCAUUGGGUCAAGAGAAGUUCCGAUUGAAAUUCAAUAUGAAUCUUUGGGGACUUAUCAUGAGAUUUAUGCUCACUAUCUAAUAAUGGGAAAUAGAAAAAAAGAAAUUCGUUCGAUAUACAUUCGAACCACUCUUGGUCAUAUUUCUUUUUAUAGAGAAAUAGAGGAAGCCGUACAAGGAUUUAGUCAGGCCUAUUCAUACACUACCUAAACAAGAAAGUUAGAUUCGGCGAUGCCCCUCCCCUUUGCUUUCGGGGGGCAUUCCGAUUUCCCUAGUAUCAUCAUUAUUUGCCACGCGAAUCCAGAUUGAGAUUGAGGCAAUUAAGUUAAUUAAAUUUUCGAAUCACUGACUCAGGCCCAUUGUCGAAUCCUACUCAGCAAUUGUCGAAUCCUACUCAGCCGAAAAGGGGGUACUUAUGUAUGGCGGAACGGGCCAAUCUGGUCUUUCAUAAUAAAGAGAUAGACGGAACUGGUAUGAAACGACUUAUUAGCAGAUUAAUAGAUCAUUUUGGAAUGGGAUAUACAUCCCAUAUACUGGAUCAACUAAAGACUCUGGGCUUCUAUCAAGCCACUACUACAUCGAUUUCGUUAGGAAUCGAGGAUCUUUUAACAAUACCCUCUAAGGGAUGGUUAGUCCAAGACGCGGAACAACAGAGUUUUCUUUUGGAGAAACACUAUUAUUAUGGGGCUGUACACGCGGUAGAAAAAUUACGCCAAUCUGUUGAGAUAUGGUAUGCGACAAGUGAAUAUUUGAAACAAGAAAUGAAUUCAAAUUUUCGGAUAACGGAUCCUUCUAAUCCAGUCUAUCUAAUGUCUUUUUCAGGAGCCAGAGGAAAUGCAUCUCAAGUACACCAAUUAGUAGGUAUGAGAGGAUUAAUGUCGGACCCUCAAGGACAAAUGAUUGAUUUACCUAUUCAAAGCAAUUUACGCGAGGGACUUUCUUUGACAGAAUAUAUAAUUUCCUGCUAUGGAGCCCGCAAAGGGGUUGUAGAUACUGCUGUACGAACAGCAGAUGCUGGAUAUCUUACACGUAGACUUGUUGAAGUAGUUCAACAUAUUAUUGUGCGUAGAAGAGAUUGUGGUACUAUCCGAGGUAUUUCUGUAAGUCCUCAAAAUGGGAUGACGGAAAAACUUUUUGUCCAAACACUAAUUGGUCGUGUAUUAGCAGACGAUAUAUAUAUCGGUUCACGAUGCAUUGCCGCGCGAAAUCAAGAUAUUGGAAUUGGAUUAGUCAAUCGAUUCAUAACUGCCUUUCGAGCACAACCAUUUCGAGCACAACCAAUAUAUAUUAGAACCCCCUUUACUUGCCGAAGCACUUCUUGGAUCUGUCAAUUAUGCUAUGGCCGGAGUCCUACUCAUAGUGAUCUGGUGGAAUUGGGAGAAGCCGUAGGUAUUAUUGCGGGUCAAUCAAUUGGGGAGCCAGGGACUCAACUAACAUUAAGAACUUUUCAUACUGGCGGAGUAUUCACAGGGGGUACUGCCGACCUUGUACGAUCCCCUUCGAAUGGAAAAAUCCAAUUCAAUGAGAAUUUGGUUCACCCCACACGUACCCGUCAUGGACAGCCUGCUUUUCUAUGUUAUAUAGACUUGCAUGUAACUAUUCAGAGUCAAGAUAUUCUAUAUAGUGUGAAUAUUCCCUCAAAAAGCUUGAUUCUAGUGCAAAAUGAUCAAUAUGUAAAAUCUGAACAAGUAAUUGCGGAGAUUCGUGCCGGAACGUCCACUUUACAUUUUAAAGAAAGGGUACAAAAGCAUAUUUAUUCUGAAUCAGACGGCGAAAUGCACUGGAGUACUGAUGUUUACCAUGCGCCCGAAUAUCAAUAUGGUAAUCUUCGUCGAUUACCAAAAACAAGCCAUUUAUGGAUAUUAUCCGUAAGUAUGUGCAGAUCCAGUAUAGCGUCUUUUUCACUCCACAAGGAUCAAGAUCAAAUGAAUACUUAUGGUAAAAAAGAUAGGGAAAUUCUUGAUUAUUCAACGUCGGAUCGAAUCAUGUCCAAUGGCCAUUGGAAUUUGAUCUAUCCUUCUAUUUUUCAAGAUAAUUCAGAUUUGUUGGCGAAAAAGCGAAGAAAUAGGUUCGUCAUUCCAUUACAAUAUCAUCAAGAACAAGAGAAAGAACUAAUAUCCUGUUUUGGGAUUUCGAUUGAAAUCCCCUUUAUGGGUGUUUUACGUAGAAAUACUAUUUUUGCUUAUUUUGACGAUCCCCGAUACAGAAAAGAUAAAAAGGGUUCAGGAAUUGUUAAAUUUAGAUAUAGGACCCUAGAAGAAGAAUAUAGGACUCGAGCGGAAGACUCAGAAGAGGAAUAUGAGACCCUAGAACACGAAUACAGGACCCGAGAGGACGAAUAUGAAACCCUAGAAGAAUCUAAAUAUGGAAUCCUAGAAGACGAAUACGAAUAUGAAACCCUAGAAAACGAAUAUGGGAGCCCAGAAAACAAAUAUGGGAACCCAGAGAACGAAUAUAGGACUUUAGAGAAAGACUCAGAAGAGGAAUAUGGGAACCCAGAGAGCAAAUAUAGGACCCAAGAGGACGAAUAUGGAACUUUAGAAGAAGACUCAGAAGACGAAUAUGGCAGCCCCGGGGAAAGCGGCGAGGAAAAAUAUGGUACUUUAGAGGAAGACUCAGAAGAAGACUCAGAGGACGAAUACGAGAGCCCAGAGGAAGAUUCCAUCUUAAAAAAAGAGGGUUUGAUUGAGCAUCGAGGAACAAAAGAAUUUAGUCUAAAAUACCAAAAAGAAGUAGAUCGGUUUUUUUUCAUUCUUCAAGAACUUCAUAUCUUGCCGAGAUCUUCAUCCCUAAAGAUACUUGACAAUAGUAUUAUUGGAGUGGAUACACAACUCACAAAAAAUACAAGAAGUGGACUAGGCGGACUGGUCCGAGUGAAGAGAAAAAAAAGCCAUACGGAACUCAAAAUAUUUUCCGGAGAUAUUCAUUUUCCUGAAGAGGCAGAUAAGAUAUUAGGUGGGUGUUUGAUACCGCCAGAAAGACAAAAAAAAGAUUCUAAGGAAUCAAAAAAAAAGAAAAAUUGGGUCUAUGUUCAACGGAAAAAAAUUCUCAAGAGCAAGGAAAAGUAUUUUGUUUCCGUUCGCCCUACAGUGGCAUAUGAAAUGGACGAAGGAAGAAAUUUAGCAACACUUUUCCCGCAGGAUCUCUUGCAAGAAGAAAAUAAUCUCCAAAUUCGACUUGUCAAUUUUAUUUAUCAUGAAAAUAGCAAGUUAACUCAAAGAAUUUAUCACACAAAUAGUCAAUUUGUUAGAACUUGCUUAGUAGUGAAUUGGGAACAAGAAGAAAAAGAAAAGGCUGGUGCUUCCCUUGUUGAGGUAAGAGCAAAUGAUCUUAUUCGCGAUUUCCUAAGAAUUGAGUUAGUCAAGUCCACUAUUUCGUAUACACGAAAAAGGUAUGAUAGGACAAGUGGAGGACCGACUCCCCAUAAUAGGUUAGAUCGCGCCAAUAGCAAUUCUUUUUAUUCCAAGGCGAAGAUUGAAUCACUUAGCCAACAUCAAGAAGCUAUUGGCACUUUGUUGAAUCGAAAUAAAGAAUACCAAUCUUUGAUGAUUUUGUCGGCAUCCAACUGUUCUCGAAUUGGUUUAUUCAAGAAUUCAAAACAUCCCAAUGCGAUAAAAGAAUGGAAUCCUAGAAUUCCUAUUCUAGAAAUUUUUGGGCCCUUAGGGGCUAUUGUAGCUAGUAUAUCGCAUUUUUCUUCAUCUUACUAUUUACUAACGCAUAAUAAAAUCCUGCUAAAAAAAUAUUUGUUCGUUGACAAUUUGAAACAAACCUUCCAAGUACUUCAAGAACUUAAAUACUCUUUAAUAGAUGAAAAUAAAAGGAUUUCCAAUUUCGAUAGUAACAUAAUGUUGGAUCCAUUCCUUUUGAAUUGUCACUUUGUCCAUCAUGAUUCUUGGGAAGAGACAUUGGCAAUAAUUCACCUUGGACAAUUUAUUUGUGAAAAUGUAUGUCUAUUUAAAUCGCACAUAAAAAAAUCUGGUCAAAUUUUCAGUGUAAAUAUGGAUUCCUUUGUUAUAAGAGCAGCUAAACCUUAUUUGGCCACUACAGGAGCAACUGUUAAUGGUCAUUAUGGAGAAAUCCUUUACAAGGGAGAUAGGUUAGUUACGUUUAUAUAUGAAAAAUCGAGAUCUAGUGACAUAACGCAAGGUCUUCCAAAAGUGGAACAAAUCUUUGAAGCGCGUUCAAUUGAUUCAUUAUCCCCCAAUCUCGAAAGGAGAAUUGAGGAUUGGAAUGAGCGUAUACCAAGAAUUCUUGGGGUCCCUUGGGGAUUCUUGAUUGGAGCUGAGCUAACCAUAGCCCAAAGUCGUAUUUCUUUGGUUAAUAAAAUCCAAAAGGUUUAUCGAUCCCAAGGGGUACAGAUCCAUAAUAGACAUAUAGAGAUUAUUAUACGCCAAGUAACAUCAAAAGUGCGGGUUUCCGAAGAUGGAAUGUCUAAUGUUUUUUCGCCUGGGGAAUUAAUCGGACUAUUGCGAGCGGAACGAGCAGGGCGAGCUUUGGAUGAAUCGAUCUAUUAUCGGGCAAUCUUAUUGGGAAUAACAAGGGCUUCCCUGAAUACCCAAAGUUUCAUAUCUGAAGCAAGUUUUCAAGAAACUGCUCGAGUUUUAGCAAAAGCUGCCCUACGAGGUCGCAUUGAUUGGUUGAAAGGCUUGAAAGAAAACGUAGUUCUGGGGGGGAUUAUACCUGUUGGUACCGGAUUCCAAAAAUUUGUGCAUCGUUCCCCACAAGACAAGAACCUUUAUUUCGAAAUAAAAAAAAAAAAUCUAUUCGCGUCGGAAAUGAGAGAUUUUUUGUUUCUCCAUACAGAAUUAGUUUCUUCAGAUUCUGACGUAACAAACAAUUUUUAUGAGACAUAAAAACCCCCAUUUAACAUUUAACCCUAAGGAUACAUAAAACAUAUUUUUUACUUUACUAGACUUUUGAACUUAGAACACUAACAGGUUAAAUUUUAGAUUUUUAAGAUUUUUAUUUUAAUAAGUAAAACAAGUCAGUUAAUUCAUUAAAUUAAGGUUUUGUUUAUACCAUGUAUCAAUGUAUCAAUGGCCAACUCUUAGUACAAGGUUCUCUCAGAACAAUUAUUAUUUUAUUUAUUUCAAGCUAUUUCGGAUCUUUCUUAAUCUUCAAAAAGAAAUAAAUUCCGUAAUGGAAUGUUAGGAUGAAAAAAAAAGGAAGUGUGGAAAAAAUGACAAGAAGAUAUUGGAACAUUAAUUUGAAAGAGAUGAUAGAAGCAGGAGUUCAUUUUGGUCAUGGUAUUAAGAAAUGGAAUCCUAAAAUGGCCCCUUACAUUUCGGCAAAGCGUAAAGGUACUCAUAUUAUAAAUCUCGCUAGAACGGCCCGUUUUUUAUCAGAAGCUUGUGAUUUAGUUUUUGAUGCAGCAAGUCAGGGAAAAAGUUUCUUAAUUGUUGGUACCAAAAAAAGAGCAACAGAUUUAGUAGCAUCAGCUGCAAUAAGGGCUCGUUGUCAUUAUGUUAAUAAAAAGUGGUUCAGUGGUAUGUUAACGAAUUGGUCGAUUACGAAAACUAGACUUUCUCAAUUUAGAGACUUAAGAGCGGAA